UACGAAGGGGGCUAGCGUUGCUCGGAAUCACUGGGCGUAAAGCGCACGUAGGCGGCUUUUUAAGUCAGGGGUGAAAUCCUGGAGCUCAACUCCAGAACUGCCUUUGAUACUGAGAGCUUGAGUCCGGGAGAGGUGAGUGGAACUGCGAGUGUAGAGGUGAAAUUCGUAGAUAUUCGCAAGAACACCAGUGGCGGAAGGCGGCUCACUGGCCCGGUACUGACGCU
rnacentral:rRNA from 1 species